CGCACAUUGCGCCCCUUGGCAUUCCGAGGGGCAUGCCCGUUCGAGCGUCAUUAAAUCCAAUCAAGCCUGGCUUGGUAUUGGGCGUCGGGGAUCGUCCCGCGCCUCAAUUUCGUCGGCUGUUCUGUUUUGCCUGAUUAACCGUGUUAAGACUACCGUCCACGCUAUGAUGGGCGGAGCAUGCCGUAAAAACGUUCAAUUUAAUUGAUUAAGGUUGACCUCGGAUCGGGUAGGAAUACCCGCUGAACUUAA
rnacentral:misc_RNA from 1 species